AGGGUGCGAGCGUUAUCGGAAUUACUGGGCGUAAAGCGUGCGCAGGCGGCUUUGCAAGACAGAGGUGAAAUCCCCGGGCUCAACCUGGGAACUGCCUUUGUGACUGCAAGGCUAGAGUACGGCAGAGGGGGAUGGAAUUCCGCGUGUAGCAGUGAAAUGCGUAGAUAUGCGGAGGAACACCGAUGGCGAAGGCAACCCCCUGGGCCUGUACUGACGCUCAUGCACGAAAGCGUGGGGAGCAAACAGGAUUAGAUACCCUGGUAGUCAAGGGCG
rnacentral:rRNA from 1 species